rnacentral:rRNA from 1 species
UACGUAGGCAGCGAGCGUUGUUCGGAAUUACUGGGCGUAAAGCGUGUGUAGGCGGUGUUCCCAGUCUGUUGUGAAAUCUCCCGGCUUAACUGGGAGGGUGCAGCGGAAACUAGAAUGCUAGAGGGUGGGAGAGGUAAGCGGAAUUCCUGGUGUAGCGGUGAAAUGCGUAGAUAUCAGGAGGAACACCUGUGGUGUAGACAGCUUACUGGACCACUUCUGACGCUGAGACACGAAAGCGUGGGUAGCAAACAGG